rnacentral:rRNA from 1 species
UAAANNUNUUUCAGCACAGACGAAGNGCAAGUGACGGUAUGUGCAGAAGAAGGACCGGCCCAANUACGUGCCAGCAGCCGCGGUAAUACGUAGGGUCCGAGCGUUNUNCNGNAAUUACUGGGCGUAAAGAGNUCGUAGGUGGUUUGUCGCGUUGUUCGUGAAAACUCACAGCUUAACUGUGGGCGUGCGGGCGAUACGGGCAGACUGGAGUACUGCAGGGGAGACUGGAAUUCNUGGUGUAGCGGUGGAAUGCGCAGAUAUCAGGAGGAACACCGGUGGCGAAGGCGGGUCUCUGGGCAGUAACUGACGCUGAGGAGCGAAAGCGUGGGGAGCGAACAGGAUUAGAUACCCUGGUAGUCCACGCCGUAAACGGUGGGUACUAGGUGUGGGUUUCCUUCCUUGGGAUCCGUGCCGUAGCUAACGCAUUAAGUACCCCGCCUGGGGAGUACGGCCGCAAGGCUAAAACUCAAAGGAAUNNNNNNNGGCCCGCACAAGCGGCGGAGCAUGUGGAUUAAUUCGAUGCAACGCGAAGAACCUUACCUGGGUUUGACAUGCACAGGACGNCNGUAGAGAUAUCNGUUCCCUUGUGGCCUGUGUGCAGGUGGUGCAUGGCUGUCGUCAGCUCGUGUCGUGAGAUGUUGGGUUAAGUCCCGCAACGAGCGCAACCCUUGUCCUAUGUUGCCAGCGGGUUAUGCCGGGGACUCGUAGGAGACUGCCGGGGUCAACUCGGAGGAAGGUGGGGAUGACGUCAAGUCAUCAUGCCCCUUAUGUCCAGGGCUUCACACAUGCUACAAUGGCCGGUACAAAGGGCUGCGAUGCCGUGAGGUGGAGCGAAUCCUUGUAAAGCCGGUCUCAGUUCGGAUCGGGGUCUGCAACUCGACCCCGUGAAGUCGGAGUCGCUAGUAAUCGCAGAUCAGCAACGCUGCGGUGAAUACGUUCCCGGGCCUUGUACACACCGCCCGUCACGUCAUGAAAGUCGGUAACACCCGAAGCCGGUGGCCUAACCCCUUG